CGGACCUCCGAUCAAGCAAGAGGACUCGCUGAAUUUAAGCAUAUAACUAAGCGGAGGAAAAGAAACUAACCAGGAUUCCCCCAGUAACGGCGAGUGAAGCGGGAAGAGCUCACGUUGUAAAUCUGACUUCGGUCCGAAUUGUAGUCUGGAGAGGCGUGACCAGCUGGAGACGGGGGCGAAGUCUCUUGGAAAAGAGCAUCAAGGAGGGUGACAAUCCCGUUCUUGCCCCCGCCUUCCACGCGUACGGUCCGUUUUCUACGAGUCGAGUUGCUUGGGAUUGCAGCUCAAAGCGGGUGGUAAAUUCCAUCUAAAGCUAAACACGGGUGGGAGACCGAUAGCGAACAAGUACCGUGAGGGAAAGAUGCAAAGAACUUUGAAAAGAGAGUUAAAGAGUGCCUGAAAUUG
rnacentral:rRNA from 1 species